rnacentral:rRNA from 1 species
GACGAACGCUGGCGGCGUGCCUAACACAUGCAAGUCGAGCGAUGAAAUUCCUUCGGGAAUGGAUUAGCGGCGGACGGGUGGGUAACACGUGGGUAACCUGCCUCAUAGAGGGGAAUAGCCUUCCGAAAGGAAGAUUAAUACCGCAUAAUGUAGUACCUUCGCAUGAAGGAACUAUCACAAGAGCAAUCUGCUAUGAGAUGGACCCGCGGCGCAUUAGCUAGUUGGUGAGGUAACGGCUCACCAAGGCGACGAUGCGUAGCCGACCUGAGAGGGUGAUCGGCCACAUUGGAACUGAGACACGGUCCAGACUCCUACGGGAGGCAGCAGUGGGGAAUAUUGCGCAAUGGGGGAAACCCUGACGCAGCAACGCCGCGUGAAUGAAGAAGGCCUUCGGGUUGUAAAGUUCUGUCUUAUGGGAAGAUAAUGACGGUACCAUAGGAGGAAGCCACGGCUAACUACGUGCCAGCAGCCGCGGUAA